rnacentral:rRNA from 1 species
AUUGAACGCUAGCGGGAUGCCCUACACAUGCAAGUCGAACGGCAGCACGGACUUCGGUCUGGUGGCGAGUGGCGAACGGGUGAGUAAUGUAUCGGAACGUGCCUAGUAGCGGGGGAUAACUACGCGAAAGCGUAGCUAAUACCGCAUACGCCCUACGGGGGAAAGCAGGGGAUCGCAAGACCUUGCACUAUUAGAGCGGCCGAUAUCGGGUUAGCUAGUUGGUGGGGUAACGGCUCACCAAGGCGACGACCCGUAGCUGGUUUGAGAGGACGACCAGCCCCACUGGGACUGAGACACGGCCCAGACUCCUACGGGAGGCAGCAGUGGGGAAUUUUGGACAAUGGGGGAAACCCUGAUCCAGCCAUCCCGCGUGUGCGAUGAAGUCCUUCGGGUUGUAAAGCACUUUUGGCAGGAAAGAAACGAUCCGGGUUAAUACCCCGGGAAACUGACGGUACCUGCAGAAUAAGCACCGGCUAACUACGUGCCAGCCGCCGCAGUAACAC